GCAAGGGGGGUGCUAUACAUGCAGUCGAGCGCGGGAAGCAGGCAGAACKCCUUCGGGAGUGAWGCCUGUGGAACGAGSGKSGGACGGGWGAGUAACACGUGGGCAACCUSCCUGUAAGGACUGGGAUAMCCCCGGGGAAACCGGGGCUAAUACCGRAUAACACUUUUUUGGUACAUGCCAAGAGAGUUGAAAGGCGGCCUUUUUUGGCUGUCACUUACAGAUGGGGCCCCGCGGCGCAUUAGCUAGUUGGUAGGGUAACGGCCUACCAAGGCAACGAUGCGUAGCCGACCUGAGAGGGUGAUCGGCCACACUGGGACUGAGACACGGCCCAGACUCCUACGGGAGGCAGCAGUAGGGAAUCUUCCGCAAUGGACGAAAGUCUGACGGAGCAACGCCGCGUGAGUGAUGAAGGUUUUCGGAUCGUAAAACUCUGUUGUUAGGGAAGAACAAGUGCCGUUCAAAUAGGGCGGCACCUUGACGGUACCUAACCAGAAAGCCCCGGCUAACUACGUGCCAGCAGCCGCGGUAAUACGUAGGGGGCAAGCGUUGUCCGGAAUUAUUGGGCGUAAAGCGCGCGCAGGCGGUCCUUUAAGUCUGAUGUGAAAGCCCACGGCUCAACCGUGGAUGGCCAUUGGAAACUGGAGGACUUGAGUACAGAAGAGGAGAGUGGAAUUCCACGUGUAGCGGUGAAAUGCGUAGAGAUGUGGAGGAACACCAGUGGCGAAGGCGACUCUCUGGUCUGUAACUGACGCUGAGGUGCGAAAGCGUGGGGAGCGAACAGGAUUAGAUACCCUGGUAGUCCACGCCGUAAACGUUGAGUGCUAGGUGUUAGGGGGUUUCCGCCCCUUAGUGCUGAAGUUAACGCAUAAGCACUCCGCCUGGAGCCCCCAAG
rnacentral:rRNA from 1 species